ACCCUUCAAAACGCUUUGUAAUACCUGUAACUGUCUGAUAUAACAAGCAAAAAUCAAAACUUUCAACAACGGAUCUCUUGGUUCUGGCAUCGAUGAAGAACGCAGCGAAAUGCGAUAAGUAGUGUGAAUUGCAGAAUUCAGUGAAUCAUCGAAUCUUUGAACGCACAUUGCGCCCUUUGGUAUUCCUUAGGGCAUGCCUGUUCGAGCGUCAUUUGAACCUUCAAGCUCAGCUUGGUGAUGGGUGACUGUCCUCCCCUCGCGGGGGGACUCGCCUCAAAAACAUUGGCGGCCGGUACAUUGGCUUCGAGCGCAGCAGAAACGCGGUCUCGAGUCCGAUGGACUGGCUCCCAUA
rnacentral:rRNA from 1 species